GGGCCAUUAGCUCAGCUGGUUAGAGCACCUGACUCUUAAUCAGGGUGUCCGGGGUUCGAAUCCCUGAUGGCCCACCA
rnacentral:tRNA from 1 species